AGGUUAACAGACAGUUAGAACAUCAAAAGAUUAUAGAUAAAAUGGAGAAAAAAGAAUCCAUAGAGAGCUUAAACAACGACAAGAAUGAAAACGUUUUACGUCCUGGCAAAUACGAAAUGGGCUCCGUGACGUUAGAUGCUGUUAUCGAAUUUGUGAAGGUGGUAGUAGCUAUACUGUUAUUUGGAAUCUGUAUUUGUCUUCUCAGGAGUUGCAUAUUAGCAGUUUCAAAAAGGAUACUACCAUCGUCAAGUUCACACACAG